UACGUAGGGGGCGAGCGUUGUCCGGAGUUACUGGGCGUAAAGGGCACGCAGGCGGUGCGGCGCGUUUCGCGUGACAGCGGAGGGCUUAACUCUCCGAGGAUGCGAAAGACGGCGGCACUUGAGGGCCAGAGAGGGACACGGAAUUCCGCGUGUAGCAGUGAAAUGCGUAGAUAUGCGGAGGAACACCGAUGGCGAAGGCAAUCCCCUGGGCCUGCACUGACGCUCAUGCACGAAAGUGUGGGGAGCAAACAGG
rnacentral:rRNA from 1 species